AAGAGGCGUUUCCGUACUUAGGCGCCUCGGCUGGGUACGUAAGGAUCGAGUCAGUCUGGCUUCAGGUUCUUCACUAAACUGCGAUCGCAAGGCUUUGCUCAUCCAAAAUGGAUCUGAAAAACCUACAUUUCGUUUUUGUGCUUUUCUCAACUAUAGGAUGCUGCGUCGGACAGCAGACCACUCUCGUGAAUGGCAUCGUGGGUGGCAAUGCAACUCUAAGCAUCAUAAACCCCCCUUCGCCGCUUCCAAGUUUCGCCACCGCUGUUUGGGUCACCAGCCAGAGUGGACAACGUGUACCUGUAGCAAGCUAUGUUAACCAACACGUUAAGUUCGGGCCCAUAUACGACGGCAGGGCAACUCUGGACAUCACCACAGGGUCCCUGCAGAUCAACAAGCUCACGCUGACAGACUCGGGACCUUAUGAUGUUACUCUGAUUUUUAGUGAUGGCACCAUGCUGCCGCAACAGAGGGUCCUCAAAGUUUAUGAGCCUGUCACUGCUGUGUCCGUGACAGCCAACGUGACCAGCGCUGUCGAGUUCAAUGACACCGUUAGCCUAACCUGCACGGCUCAGGGCUCUGACCUCUUCUUCCAGUGGUUUAACGGCAGUUCUCAGAUCAUGCCUAGUGACCGUGUGAGCCUGACCAAUGGCAACAGCACGCUGGCCAUCUCCAGCAUCCGGAGGUACGAUCGGGGUCCUCUGAAGUGCACGGUGCAGAAUGUCUUCACGAGCCAGAGUGCAAACUUAACUUUGGACGUCAGCUUUGGACCCGAAAAUAUUUUGGUGACUGCAACUCCUCAAUUAAAACCACUGACCUCAGGGUCCAAUGUGACCCUAAACUGCUCAGCCCAGUCCAGUCCUGCUGCAUUAUUCUCCUGGGCUGUCAAUGGAAACGUGCUCAAAGAUGUAGGCCCAGUAUACAAGCUGGAUAAUGUUGCUGUAGACAAAAGUGGCAACUACACCUGCUGGGCCUACAACGGCAAGACGCAGCGGUACGCGGCCUCCCAGAGCGUGCAGCUCACCUUCCAUGAGAAAGUAUCUAACACGAAGAUCGUGGGCCCAUCAACGCCGCUUAUAGCUGGCAAUAGCUCAGCUAACCUGACGUGUCAAACCACAUCUGGCUCCCUCAACACCAUGGAGUGGCAGAAGGAUGGAAGGCCACUGGUCCCCAGCAGCUCUGUCACCAUCUCUGCAGAUAAGACGUCCGUAUUCAUCAGCCCUGUCCAGCGAAAGGACCACGGCGAGUACCAGUGCAAAGUCACCAAUCCUGUCAGCACAGACACCGCAAUCUACAGAUUGAAUGUCACUUACGGCCCGGAAAAGGCCCACGUGGACGGACUGGAAGCAGUGGAGGUGGGCAACCUCGUUCACCUCGACUGCGUGGUAGAGGCAGCACCUGCCUGCAACUUCACCUGGAAGUUAAACGACACGGUAAAGGCUGUGACGACGUCGAAGUACAUCAUAGAGAGCACUGCGUACAGCGACACCGGGAGCUACACCUGCAAGGCCUGGAACGUGGUGACAGGCAUGACCGCCUGGUCCCAGCCCCACACCCUUACUGUGAAUGAGAAGGGAACCCUGCCGGAGCCGCUCUCAGGGGGGGCCGUCGCGGGCAUCAUCAUCGGGGUCCUGGUGGCCGUCAUUCUCAUCGCCAUCAUCGCCAAAUCCCUCAUGAAGCGCAGGAAGAAGAAAGAGGAGUGCUGCACAAACACUGGGGAGCUGGCGGAGUGCCCAUCCAAAAGCUGCACAAACACUGGGGAGCAGGCGGAGUGCCCAUCCAAAAGCUGCACGAACACUGGGGAGCAGGCUAAUGCUGCAGAUACAGAGAGCUAGGGAAAGACGUCAUUCAGCUGUAUGAGGACAUGGCUCCACCCACAUGACUUCACCCACUGUUCCAUAGCAUUGACAGUUAUGCUAAUUUCACACAGAUCAUAUGCAAAUCAGUUGCAGUUGCACAAAUUCUCUACAGCCCUGUAUUCAGUCGGCUGCAUUACUGUGUCAAUAGACAUGGUUUUUCGUAUAGUACGGGUAUCAUUUUUGUGCCUGUCAAUAAAAGAGCAUUUAACAAUUCAAUUCCGGUUAUAGCUGAACUUUAAAUUCUUUAAAUUCAGUUUUCCAUAAUGAAACCACUGGAAGAAACAUAGAUCUACUAGUGCAUGAAUGAGGAGGGAGGAGCUUUGAAACACUGCAGCACACAGAGGUGUGCGUAAUGUAGUGCACAGUGUACUUCCAGGUCAUAAAAAGCAUGUCAUUGAAUAAAUUGAAUAAUUGAAUAACUAGUCCUUUGUUGUCCAAUGUAGCUCUCACCUGGAUUUGUGUGCUGGAUCCAGUAAGACAAUUGAAAGGAUCGAAUCACCGUACUAGCAUCAGCGAAUGGGAGAUGGACUGAUGCCUUCGUCAUGUAUGACACUGACCCCCCGCCCCCACCGCCACCCCCACCCCCAUCCAAGCCCCGCUACUGCAUUCAGAUGUACGACCAGGCAGGACUCCUGAUCAAAAAGAUGGCCAAAAAAGCAAUCAGAAAAUAGUUUUCAGCCGUGCAAUAGGCUCCUCCCACUUUUGGUGACCUUCCCUUUGCGCCUUUUUUGACUGGCACUGAAGGAGUGAAUCUGUGCCCAGCUGCCUGCACUGCCUCCUCCUGCUGGAGCAGUGGAGCAGCCUGAUUUCACACCUGACUGCCCUGGCUUGCACGUAUUUGCACUGGAAACUGCAAGGCUCUCCCUGUACAUCAAGCCCUCGUGAAGAGAUGCACAAGCGUCACCUGUCAUCCAGCAGCGCAGCAGAAUCCAGCCAGUCCCACUCCGCCUGUGCGACCUUUUUAUCAAUGGACUGCCUGUGCCGUAUGCAAGUUACAGCAAAGAUGGCAAGAGUCAGCACGUCUGUUUUGGGUAAAUCAGUAACUCUUGUGGAGGGAGAUUCUGGGUGCCGGGCUUUGAUGUGAAUGCUACAAACAGAAACGCUUCCUACAUAGCAAAAAUGUUAAAAAUGGAUCAAUGAAAGCAACUUCUGCAUUUUAAAACCACGAAAGUCACUGAUGCGAUAAGCAGGCACGUGAAAUGAAUAUAGUUUUUUAGAAGGUGGCAGGUUAUGUGUAUUUUGUUAAAAAGAAAGAAAACUUUGUUUUGAGAAAUCUUUUGUUUUAAGGUCAUUUCUGGGUACUGUAUGUUUACUGAAUUCUCCACCAACUGAACUGGUUUUUUGCUUUUACCUUCAGUGGUUUGCGCCUCUUGGUAUUUCGCCCUAAAGUAUGCCCAGCUUGUUUACAGACCCAAGCUUUUAAUGUCAUUUGGUCUGUGAGGCGGCAUGAGGGUCAUGUGGAGGUGGAAACCUCAUGCCCACCUACAUACGUCUGAGAAGGAACUGCACAGCAGGUGGCCCUGGCUAACGAAUGAAUGUUCAUUAAAGUGAAUUGUAAUACUUAGCUUGCUGCUUCUGAUUGACCCCCCCCCCCCAAAAAAAAUCCAAAAAUAUUACUUCACCCACCAUGUGCUGUAGACACUUCCCGCGCUUGACCUUAUUUAUUGGUAAUGUCAAAUAAUGUGUUGAAUGAUACUGUCCAGUUCUGAGUUCAAUGCAUAUCAAUGUAUGAAACUGCAAGGCAUUAUAAAGAAACUGCAGUGAGCGUAACAAUAACUUGUUUAUCAGAUGCCAGAGAUAAAUCACUGUAUCAAGGUUCUUAGGACGAUGCCAACAACAUUCCAAAGAAAUAAAAAUAUUACUAAUGACUCACCGUAUAAGAUUUUCAAUUGUAAAAUUUUUGUUAUGACGAUUUGACCUGUUUUUAUAUGUUUCUGCGAAGCACUCGGACAGCUUUUCUGUGCUUUUCCUCCAGUGCCUUCAGAGCAGGGUGGCUCGGUGCUCGGCUUGCGGGUCUUUGUUGACGUUGGGGGGGUUGUGCUGCCCUGCUAUCUUACUGACGGAGGUGUGGCUCUUUGGCCAUGAAUGGUCCCCUUUGGCUGUCGCGCUACAUUAGAUCACAGUAGUUGGCGGAAUGCAGACGUUACUGUGUUCUGUCAGGCCAAUUAACGGGUGCUGAUUGAGUCCCCCGAGGCAACACGGCACCUCUCCCACAUCUGGGAGGUGUAGAGGCGCUGUGAGAUCCCUCUGUCAGCGUCCCAGUUGCCCUCUGCCACUCCCCCCUCUCCAUGGCUGCUCAGAAGCAGCUCAGAAAGUCAGUGUGCCCGGGGGCCUCACGCCGGGGAGCAGUUGAUAGGUGAACGUGACACCGGUAGUCUGUCGUUUCUCGCUCUGCUAGCCGACGCACAGGUUUCCCGCUUCUCAGCCAGGGCCGCCUUCUUCCUCAGCCAGCUGUUCCCAAGGGCCAGGCGGAUCCCACACGAUGUCCUCUCACUUUUUUCUCCAGGCAGGCUUGGGGAGCCUAUCUCUGACUGACGGCACACUGAAUACCUUUAGCGUUUUAUCGGGGGAGCAGCCAAAGGAGGAAGAAACUUUUGUCAGGUUCACACACACCGAACAAAAAAAAGUCAGCUGGAUCCUGUUGGUAUUUUGUAGCAGCUUGGAUAGACUGGAUUCUGCGUCACGAUUCAGCAAUGCUGCCUUCCUUGAUGGUACAUGGCAGGUUAACAACACCUGCUCUUUUGGGCUGGGUUCGGUUUAGGGGGUGGACUUAAUCGUCUAGGUGAGUCUGGUUCUUGGCUGACUACCCUAAAUGUGAAUUGCAAAAAAAGUAAGUGUAGAAAAACUAAGUGUAGAAGUGAAACAGUGAUCUUUUGGAACCUGCUGCUUCUUCAUUCCUGACUCUUCCCUCUGCUGUGGUGACAGUGUGUUUUGGGGUGAGAGGCUGAGGUUUCAAAGGGGAGUAUUAACUGCUGCACUGCAUGGCUGAGCUCUGGCGGCGACGGUGCAGAUCCGCUGGUAAAGCUUCUCCGAGGGCACCCUGCUCGCAAACUUCACUUCAUAGCUAUUUCUUGGGUUUUUUUUUAUUUUUAUUUUUUAUUAUUUUAUAGAGAGGCAUAAACUCUGUUGUAUGCAAAAUCCUUAUUUUUGUAUGUUAAUAAAAACAAAUAAUAAUGA